GGUCAGUGAUGAUAAAUUCAAGGCUUGUUUCUCAAAACAUUCGCAGGGCCGCCUAAGAGCUUUUGCCUUUUGCCGAGCUUGAGAGCUUGUGCUGCUUUUAUCCUUCCUUGGAUGUCUGACACC